GAUGUGUCCCAAUAUUUAUGUCCAUAUAGUUUAUAAACAUCAGUAUUUCCUUAAAGUUUAAUGGGAGAUUUUUCUUCCUCAGUGAGAUGUGAAGAAACUAGAUGGUUAGUUGUGGUAGAAAAUUAUUAUUUACAGUCAGA